CUUGUUUCCCCUUCUGUUUGAGUGACAUUUUUGGUUCUCGCUGGGGAAUGUAACCGCUCUGUAGUGCUGUAGUAUAAUUAAAGAUUUCAGGUUUCUCAAUUGAAGACAUCCCGCUUUUCUUUUCUGCUCCCCAAUUUCGUGAUUAAAUUGGUAGUUAGUUUUGUCCCAUUGCUGCAACUCCCAUACGAACUCGGGAGAGGCAAAGCUUGAGAGCCAUGCGUCCUCCGAAACACGACCCUGCCAAGCCGCACUGCUUCUUGACACACUGCUCGCUUAACCCGGAAGAGUACGGCACCAAUGUGUCAGAGGGAAGGUGGUACAACUGGCGACGGUGUAAGCGUGCAUGCACCCGGCCUGCCACCGGAGUCGCAAGAUGGGUCAAGGACAUCCCAGUUGACCAGACCCUCCCCUAACCCAGACAACGCUGGCCCAAUUGUGCACCGCCUCAUUGGUCUCCCAAUGCGGCUGGGAGAACCUGGGUCUGUAGCGAUGCCUCCAGCACUGCAAUGCAGUGCCUUAAAUGCUGCGCCACUCGGGAGGCCCACCGUUUAGGCUGUUAUUUUUGUUGUUGUUGGAUGGUCACAGUUCUGGUCUGCUUAAAGGGCUACCGCAGUUCCUGAUUUGGUCUUGUUUUAGAUUUUGUUAAUUAAAAAAAUGCUAGCGGCUGUGACUGAAUUCAAACGUGAGUUGGUUUCGGGGUGUGGUUUGAUGUAGGUGUUUGCAGGUGGAAAAGGUUAGCUAAAUUAUUGCGCUAAUUUGCUUCAACUGUGGCAGAGUUGGUUAGACUAUCCAAAGUCUAACCAUCUUCAAGGUUAGUUGGUAACUGUCCAUUUACACAAUGUAAAUUACAAUUUAUAGAUGCUUUGAGGUUUAAGUCAUUGAAAUUUGGAGGUAUUGGGAUUUUGAUGUUGUCCCAUGUACAUUAUGUAAUUUAAUGAUGGUCCAUAACUAGCCCCAUAGAGAUCCAAAGUCAACCUGAAUUUAUCACAGGGAUUACAAUAGGGUCUUGUGUAGCUGCACUCCAAAUUGACGAUUUAAAGCCAAUUUACGCUUGAUCUGAAAAUGUGGUGGAGGCUUUGUAUGGAGAGUGUGACACAAUUGCAGAGCCAAAUCAAGCUCCGUACUUCAUUUGCAUUGCCGUGCACCUCUCAAAUCUUGUAAUAAUGUGGAGGGCUCCGCAUUAACAUGAUUGUUUGGUGGGGGUGGGAGGUUCUGUGUAAACACACUCACUUCCUUCACAACAGCUUUGUGAUGCGCAAAAAGUAUGUUUGUUCUAACUUCUGCGGAGGUCCCAUAGCAGUAAAUGCUGUACUACCACUGCAGAUGUCAGAUUGACCAUGCAGAGUUUUUAAUUUGUGUGCUGCCAGUUGUGGGCAGGAUUGAAACAAACCCAACCUUCAUUUACAUUGUGAUGCAGUCACUACCACACAACUCUUGUUUUGGAAAAGACUGACUUUAUCACCAAAAUGAUCCUAUUUACACAUUGUAGGACAUUUUGACAGAAUAAUAAAUGUUUGACUCAUACUGUAGAUGGCCACACCCCGUUUUCUAAAUGAGAAAUUGUUUUAUUAGGGGUAGUUUCUCUUUAACGGUUGGCUCUUGCGUAGGCACCAAUGUGAGGGAGUUAUUUUACACUGGCCUGGUUUUUUAAUCCAGGCUCUUCACGUCAUCGGGCGAAAGCGGGGAGGGAGGAGUACCCUUCUCAAAUCAAACAGUAAUCUGCACCAGUCGGGCAUGUCAACAAGCAUGCUGCAUCGUCCAGAAUCUCUUUUCCAUGAAAUAAAUGUGAUAAUUUAAGACAGUGUUUUUAUAACAAAAUGUAUCAUAUUCACUACAUAUGCUUAAUUACUUUUGUUUUGAGACUACUUUGCCAUCGGACGGAGCAGGCACCUGGAUCACGCCCAGGAGGCAGCCCGAUUCCAAAUCAAAUGCAAUCAUUUUCCAGAUGAUGCAAAACACACCUACACAGGUGUGAUUAAUCAAACCCCCUCAUUAGCAGCUGGGUCUGGCCUGUUUAGCUAAUUGACUGUAUAUGAACCAGAAAAAAAAGGAGCGAGUGUGACGUCUCGCUUUAUCUUCUGCCUCUGGAAUUAUCCCGGCCAGGGCACAAAAAAAAUCCUGAUUCCACUAAUCACCUCACCUCCUUACACCAAACCAAUUAGCUGAUCAGCUAAGGUCCUGCCCUGACUGCUGAUUGAUCACAUGAAGUGGUUGUGAGAGUAAUGGCAUUGUGGAAUCUGUCUGUUUGAAGGCUGUUUUCUAGAGCUUGGCAGAAGCCCCACCUGACUCCUCUGGAUAGAAGCUGAUGGAGGGCUGAGUGAGGACUGCUUGGUGGGCACAUAAUUCACAUACACUACUGUUAAGAGCACCAAGCCCACACAUUUACAUCUGUCUAGAGAAGAAGCAGAUUAUGGUGGACCGGAGGGACCAAGGAAACUAGAAGCCUAAGAAGAUGACCCCUAUCACUCGUGACAGUGGGGGUCCCCUUGUGUUCCUAUCCUGGUUUUGGCAGCUGGUGGGGGUGGUGAGCUGGGGGGUGGGCUGUGCCUGCCGGGGCACCCUGGGGUCUACUGCAGAAAGUACUACUGAAAAUCCAGUUUCUCUCAGCGGUAACUACUGUAAACUGACUGGUAAUUCUCUCUCGAUGAGCGCUGAGUGGUUCUGGAAAACAUUCACACAGUCAAAAGACAUACACACUGCACUGACUUACAAUACUGACCUGUAAAGUUUCUUUGUGUUCUUAUUUUAUAUUAUCUUAGAGAUGUAAGUACUUUAUGAGUUAUGUAUUUCAUUUUUUACAAAUAUUUUAUGGUUGAUUAAUGAUUUGUCCAAUUUUGACAGGCAAAAAAAGACAAUGUACUGUUAUAUUCAAAAGUUUAUUGGAUUCUUGUGGCUUUUUAUAAUAAAUCAUAUUUGAGCAGA